rnacentral:rRNA from 1 species
AUUGAACGCUGGCGGCAGGCCUAACACAUGCAAGUCGAGCGGAGCGGCGGACGGGUGAGUAAUGCCUAGGAAUCUGCCCGGUAGUGGGGGAUAACGUCCGGAAACGGGCGCUAAUACCGCAUAAUAUCAGAGGAGUCUAGGUCGGAUUAGCUAGUUGGUGGGGUAAAGGCCUACCAAGCCGACGAUCCGUAGCUGGUCUGAGAGGAGGAUCAGUAACACUGGAGCUGGGAGACGGUCCAGACUCCGACGGGAGGCAGCAGUGGGGAAUAUUGGACAAUGAGCGAAAGCCUGAUCCAGCCAAGCCGCGUGUUUGAAGAAGGUCUUCGGAUUGUAAAGCACUAUAAGUUGGGAAGCGGUACCAACAGAAUAAGCACCGGCUAACUCCGUGCCAGCAGCCGCGGUAAUUC